AGGAAAGUGAUGAAGAUGCCAGCCAGAGAGAAGAGCAGAGAGGAGAACCUGUCCCACUGGCACAGGAUAAUGAAGAUGCCACACAGAGAGCGGAGCAUUUCACAUUAACACAGGAAAGUGAUGAAGAUGCCAGCCAGAGAGAAGAGCAGAGAGGAGA